UACGUAGGGUGCGAGCGUUAAUCGGAAUUACUGGGCGUAAGCGUGCGCAGGCGGUUUUGUAAGCCAGAUGUGAAAUCCCCGGGCUUAACCUGGGAAUGGCAUUUGGGACUGCAAAGCUUGAGUGCGGCAGAGGGGACUGGAAUUCCUGGUGUAGCAGUGAAAUGCGUAGAGAUCAGGAGGAAUACCGAUGGCGAAGGCAGGUCCCUGGGCUGACACUGACGCUCAUGCACGAAAGCGUGGGGAGCAACAGG
rnacentral:rRNA from 1 species